rnacentral:rRNA from 1 species
CAUGGAGGGUGAGAAUCCCGUCCGGUUGAUCAUUUGCGUUUUACGAUACGCUUUCUAAGAGUCAAGUUGUUUGGGAUUGCAGCUUAAAAUGGGAGGUAAAUUUCUCCUAAGGCUAAAUAACGGCGAGAGACCGAUAGCGAACAAGUACCGUGAGGGAAAGAUGAAAAGAACUUUGAAAAGAGAGUUAAACAGUACGUGAAAUUGUUGAAAGGGAAACGAUUGAAGCCAGUCGUACCUUCGGGUAAUCAGCCUUUCGGGUGCGAUUCUGUGGGGUUUGAGGAGCUUAACACCUUCAUGCUUUGCAUAUUCGUGCUCUUGGGUGUACUUGCCCGUGUGGUUGGUUAACAUCAAUUUUGGUGGUCAUAAAAUGACUGGAGGAAUGUAGCUUCGAUCUCGUAUUGAAGUGUUAUAGCCUUCGGUAGAUGUGAUGAUCGAGAUUGAGGAUUGCAACGGAUACCCUUCGGGGCUACCUGUCUGAUCUCUGAUCGUUGCUCUGGUGCCGAAAGCUUGCUUACGGUUAUCAAAGUCGAUGGUCAAUAGGUUAGAAUGGGUUAAAUUCGUUAAGGAUGUUGACGUAAUGG